rnacentral:telomerase_RNA from 1 species
AUGCUGAUGACAAUUAAUUGCCGUGUUAUUUGCAUUGUUUCGUGUUUGUGACGGUUCAAAGCAAAUUAACAAAACUAACAAAACUAACAAAAAUACUAGGUGUUGCUUGUCCGUAAGUUCACCUUUAUCAAAAAAAUGGAACGGACUGCUCACGGAUUAUUUUU